AUUAACAGUGCAUCGAAGAUUUGAAAAACACUUGAUAUAGUAUAAAAAAAAUAUUAACAAGAUCAACUUAUAGACGUUGUUUACAGUUGAUACUAGUAAUUUUUAUUACUCGAUAGGUAUAAAAUGUGAUUAUUUAAAGAUGUCAUUAAAGUAUAUAAACAAGUGAGAAGGUAAAACUACAUGCAGUUAAUCACAAUGAUCGCAAGAAGCACUUUAAUCUUUUGUGUUGUGUUAGUUUGCUUCCUUACAAUAGGACAAACCAUUGCAGCUGAAUGUAACUCAGCACUAGACAAAAUCUGUGCUGAGACCUUCAAUUGUUUGGCAGGACAGACAGCAAAAUGUGCAGUUGUUGCAGGAAUCACUACCUGCACGUGUGUUUAAAAAUUCUUACAUAAUAAUUAUGUUUUAUUAUCGAAAUAUAUUACAUUAGAGGAGCAAUAAACAUAUAUUUUUAUACUUA